GUUGCAAUUCGUUCCAUCGCUCCGCUUUGUCGGAGAGGAAAGUCCGGACACCGAAGAGCGCCAUACCCUGAGAAACCAGGGGCAGUUGUUGGGAGACUGGCAAUUGACAGAUAGGGCCGCAGAAAGUAUACCGCCGUUUUCAAUUUUAUUGGAAAAGGUAAGGGUGAAAAGGUGCGGUAAGAGCGCACCAGUAGGGUUGGCAACAGCCUUAGCUUGGUAAACCUUUUGGGGUGAAAGGCCAAAUAAACCCGGGUUUGAGGGCUGCUCGUCCAAACCGGGAGGGUAGGUCGUAUAGACAAAUGAUGGAUUAAAACAGAAUCCGGCUUAUUAAGGUUGUAGCAUUU
rnacentral:RNase_P_RNA from 1 species